GACAUUUGGCGUGUAGGCUGUUGUUGGCAUCAGAUGGAUGAUUUCCAGACAACGAUUACUAGCAUCAACGACAAGCACUACAGACAAUCUACGUCGACCGCCAUCAAUCACAAUGUGAAGAAGAUAAUGUAGAUGGCUACUCUCAGUCUCGUAGACUUUGUAUGAGGAUCCAACUCAAUCAAACUCUUCUGUGCUUACCAUAUG
rnacentral:lncRNA from 1 species